GAUGAACGCUAGCGGCAGGCUUAACACAUGCAAGUCGAGGGGCAGCAUGGUGUAGCAAUACACUGAUGGCGACCGGCAAACGGGUGCGGAACACGUACAGAAUCUGCCUUUGUCUGGGGAAUAGCCCGAAGAAAUUCGGAUUAAUACCCCAUAGUAUGUUAUGGUGGCAUCACCAAUACAUUAAAACUCCGGUGGACAAAGAUGACUGUGCGUCCCAUUAGCUAGUUGGUAGGGUAAAGGCCUACCAAGGCGACGAUGGGUAGCUGGUGUGAGAGCACGACCAGCCACACGGGCACUGAGACACGGGCCCGACUCCUACGGGAGGCAGCAGUGAGGAAUAUUGGUCAAUGGACGCAAGUCUGAACCAGCCAUGCCGCGUGAAGGAUGAAGGCGUUCUGCGUUGUAAACUUCUUUUAUCUGGGAAGAAACCUACGAUUUCUAUUGUAGCCGACGGUACCAGAGGAAUAAGCACCGGCUAACUCCGUGCCAGCCGCCGCAGUAAAAC
rnacentral:rRNA from 1 species